rnacentral:rRNA from 1 species
GAUGAACGCUGGCGGCGUGCCUAAUACAUGCAAGUCGAGCGAACGGACGAGAAGCUUGCUUCUCUGAUGUUAGCGGCGGACGGGUGAGUAACACGUGGAUAACCUACCUAUAAGACUGGGAUAACUUCGGGAAACCGGAGCUAAUACCGGAUGAUAUUUUGAACCGCAUGGUUCAAAAGUGAAAGACGGUCUUGCUGUCACUUAUAGAUGGAUCCGCGCUGCAUUAGCUAGUUGGUAAGGUAACGGCUUACCAAGGCAACGAUGCAUAGCCGACCUGAGAGGGUGAGCGGCCACACUGGAACUGAGACACGGACCAGACUACUACGGGAGGCAGCAGUAGGGAAUAUUCCGCAAUGGGCGAAAGCAUGACGGAGCAACGCCGCGUGAGUGAUGAAGGUCUUCGGAUCGUAAAACUCUGUUAUUAGGGAAGAACAUAUGUGUAAGUAAAUGUGCACAUCUUGACGGUAACUAAUCAGAAAGCCACGGCUAACUACGUG